CACAAGUUAUGUUGUGUUAUCGACAAGUGAAUUCAUAGCUUGUCAGAAGGCAGACCCGGAGAACUGAAACAUCUUAGUACCCGGAGGAAGAGAAAGAAAAUUCGAUUCCCUGAGUAGCGGCGAGCGAAACGGGAAGAGCCCAAACCAAUAAGCUUGCUUAUUGGGGUUGUAGGACACUCUAUACGGAGUUACAAAGGAAUAUAUUAAACGAAUCAUCUGGAAAGUUGAAUCAAAGAAGGUAAUAAUCCUGUAGUUGAAAAUAUAUUCUCUCUUGAGUGGAUCCUGAGUACGACGGAGCACGUGAAAUUCCGUCGGAAUCUGGGAGGACCAUCUCCUAAGGCUAAAUACUCUCUAGUGACCGAUAGUGAACCAGUACCGUGAGGGAAAGGUGAAAAGUACCCCGGAAGGGGAGUGAAAGAGAACUUGAAACCGUGUGCUUACAAGUAGUCAGAGCCCGUUAAUGGGUGAUGGCGUGCCUUUUGUAGAAUGAACCGGCGAGUUACGAUCUGAUGCAAGGUUAAGCAGAAAAUGUGGAGCCGUAGCGAAAGCGAGUCUGAAUAGGGCGUAUAGUAUUUGGUCGUAGACCCGAAACCAGGUGAUCUA
rnacentral:rRNA from 1 species